ACUGACCUCCAGACGGACGAGGAACAAGGAGAGAGACUACUACACUACUUCACCUGAGAUUAUAUUCCAGUUGCUGUGAGAGCCCUGAACCAUGCGUGCUGUUGUGGUUACUGCCGUCCUUCUUCUGGUGGUGCUGAUGUUCAUGUCCGCCUCUGCAGCCGACAUGUGUAAGACCAAAUUUCCGCCCAUACCGUGUACCAACACGAAGCUCGGUGAUGGUUGGGUCCAGAUAACUAAAAAAAGCUGUGUGAAG